UGGGGGAAUUUUGGACAAUGGGCGAAAGCCUGAUCCAGCAAUGCCGCGUGUGUGAAGAAGGCCUUCGGGUUGUAAAGCACUUUUGUCCGGAAAGAAAUCCUUGGCUCUAAUACAGUCGGGGGAUGACGGUACCGGAAGAAUAAGCACCGGCUAACUACGUGCCAGCAGCCGCGGUAAUACGUAGGGUGCAAGCGUUAAUCGGAAUUACUGGGCGUAAAGCGUGCGCAGGCGGUUUGCUAAGACCGAUGUGAAAUCCCCGGGCUCAACCUGGGAACUGCAUUGGUGACUGGCAGGCUAGAGUAUGGCAGAGGGGGGUAGAAUUCCACGUGUAGCAGUGAAAUGCGUAGAGAUGUGGAGGAAUACCGAUGGCGAAGGCAGCCCCCUGGGCCAAUACUGACGCUCAUGCACGAAAGCGUGGGGAGCAAACAGGAUUAGAUACCCUGGUAGUCCACGCCCUAAACGAUGUCAACUAGUUGUUGGGGAUUCAUUUCCUUAGUAACGUAGCUAACGCGUGAAGUUGACCGCCUGGGGGAGUACGGUCGCAAGAUUAAAACUUAAAGGAAUUGACGGGGUCAUAGCUGUUUCCU
rnacentral:rRNA from 1 species